CACCGCGGUUAUACGAGAGGCCCAAGUUGAUAGGUACCGGCGUAAAGGGUGGUUAGGGAUAACUAUAAAAUAAAGCCGAAUAUCUUCAACGCUGUUAUACGCCCUCGAAGAUUCGAAGCCCCAUUACGAAAGUAGCUUUACCUUCCCCCGAACCCACGAAAGCCAGGGUA
rnacentral:rRNA from 3 species